ACCGCCACGGUGACUUGCAAGCAACUCACUGCACUUAGGCACUAGACUACCUGAAUUUCUAAUUCAGUGAUGGAAGGCUGCUGGGUGUAGUCAAGUACUUGACUUGUCGGUGCGUGUGUCAAGAUGGGAUUGACCACUCCAGUUUAGGAGCUGUGUACAGUCAUGUUUCAAUUUAGCAAAAUCUUGAUCAGGGUAGUCCUAGUGAGGAGUCACAGGACUGAUUGAGUUGAGCACGAUUCGGAUGAUCUCAUCAGGGUUGACAGUUUAACCCUGAGUCGUCCUAAACACAGGGGUCAAAAGGGAUGAAUUAUACGGUAACCAUAUUCAUGUAGGUUCUGAAUGUUGUGAUUACGACUAUUCGACCUAUCCGAUCAUCGGGUACCAUUGCUAGAUGGUCACUUCGAUUAGUACAAGAAUUGGUUCCUGUGCUACCGGCUUAGGUUCGAACCUACGGGGUCACACACAUUAGAGGUUUCUUUCUGAUCUGAUGGCUGAUUAUGAGUCUUAUGUGUCUGGGACUCUAUGAUUGAGAAUUAGGAUUCUCUGAUCAUGAGUUCUACACAUUUUGGGUACCGGGAUCAAAAUUUUAAAUUUCAAAUUUUGAAUUUGAAAUUUGAACUCUUCGAUCAAGGUUUCAUAUUGAUGGACUUUGAUACCCGAUUGCCCAUCGAAUUUGGACUCAAUAAUUAUGAGAGAUUUUAUUAGUGAUUUGAUCACCAAUUAACUCAAUUUGAUUCAGUAAUUAUUUUUGGAUCAAGUUCAAUUGAAUU
rnacentral:lncRNA from 1 species